rnacentral:rRNA from 1 species
CUACGGGAUGCAGCAGUCGAGAAUAGUCUACAAUGGACGAAAGUCUGAUAGUGCAACGCCGCGUGGGUGAUGAAGCAUUUCGGUGUGUAAAACCCUUUUCUUUGUGAGCAAUGCCAUUAUGGUUAAUAGCUAUAGUGGAGCGAUAUUAGCAGAGGAAUAAGCCACGGCUAACUCCGUGCCAGCAGCCGCGGUAACACGGGGGUGGCAAGCGUUGUCCGGAAUCACUAGGCGUAAAGGGCAGGUAGGCGGAAUAUCUAGUCAUUUGUUAAAGGCACUGGCUCAACCAGUGUACGGCAUAUGAUACUGGUAUUCUAGAAUUUGGUAUGGGAAGACGGAAUUCCUGGUGUAGCGGUGGAAUGCGCAGAUAUCAGGAAGAACACCGGAGGCGAAGGCGGUCUUCUGGGCCAAAAUUGACGCUCAACUGCGAAGGUGUGGGUAUCAAACAGGAUUAGAUACCCGAGUAGUC